ACGUAGGGUGCGAGCGUUAAUCGGAAUUACUGGGCGUAAAGCGUGCGCAGGCGGUGCGCCAAGCUCGAUGUGAAAGCCCUGGGCUUAACCUAGGAAUUGCGCUUGAGACUGGAUAGCUUGGAGUGCGGCAGAGGGAGGUGGAAUUCCACGUGUAGCAGUGAAAUGCGUAGAGAUGUGGAGGAACACCGAUGGCGAAGGCAGCCUCCUGGGCCAGCACUGACGCUCAUGCACGAAAGCGUGGGGAGCAAACAGGA
rnacentral:rRNA from 1 species